UUCACAGCUGCGGGUGGCCUAGCAUGCAUCAUGGGCUGAAACCUCUCAUUUCCUCCUCCCAUGGCACGUUGUUGGUUCAUCAUUGCUGCCAAAUACUGUUGCUGUUGUUGUUGUUGAUGGUAUGGGUUGCCCGGCAUUACAUCCGGACCCGCUCCCUGAAAGUACCCUCCGCCGCCGCCGCCGCCGUUCAUGGCUGCUGCCGGUAACCCUUGCACUGCUGGGAUGUUACCCAUUUGGGGUAAGCUCCCCAUUUGGCCCAUUGCCAUGUUCAUGGCAGCAGCCCUUUGUUGUUGACUCAUGUUCCCACCAUUAGCGCCGCCACCCAUGGUAGGGAACCCAUCGGAAACACCGUUGGGAGCACCCUUUUUGCCACCGUUCCCACCACCGUUGUUACCACCAUUCUUGUGUAGCUCCUGAGGUAAACCACCGCCAUUUUUACCACCGUUUUUACCACCGCCACCUUGAUAUGGAUUCCCCCCGUUAGGAUUCCCUCCAGCACCACCACCUUUCUUACCUCCAUUCCCAUUUUUACCCUCAUUGUUACCACCACCAACAGGCAUACCACCCCCACCGUUACCACCUUUCUUACCAUUACCCCCACCAUUAGGAGCAGCAUUUUGGGGACCCUUUUGGGGAUUCAUAAGCUGAGGGAGAUUACCAUUCAUCAUGCCAUUCAACAUCACCAUGUUGUUGGGCAUUCCUUUAGGAGGAGCAUUAUUCCCCAUCAUAGCCUUCAUCUUGUUAACUGGAUGACG
rnacentral:lncRNA from 1 species